ACAUGAAUUACCUGGGGAUCUUGUUAAUAUGCAGACUCUGAUUCAGGAGGUCUGGGAUAGGGCCUGAGAGCCUGCAUUUCUGACAAGCUCCCAGGGGAUGCCCAU
rnacentral:pre_miRNA from 1 species